UACGAAGGGGGCUAGCGUUGUUCGGAAUUACUGGGCGUAAAGCGCGUGUAGGCGGGUCUUUAAGUCAGGGGUGAAAUCCUGGAGCUCAACUCCAGAACUGCCUUUGAUACUGAAGAUCUUGAGUCCGGGAGAGGUGAGUGGAACUGCGAGUGUAGAGGUGAAAUUCGUAGAUAUUCGCAAGAACACCAGUGGCGAAGGCGGCUCACUGGCCCGGUACUGACGCUGAGGCACGAAAGCGUGGGGAGCAAACAGG
rnacentral:rRNA from 1 species